rnacentral:rRNA from 1 species
GAUGAACGCUGGCGGCGUGCUUAACACAUGCAAGUCGAACGAUGAAGCCCAGCUUGCUGGGUGGAUUAGUGGCGAACGGGUGAGUAACACGUGAGUAACCUGCCCUUAACUCUGGGAUAAGCCUGGGAAACUGGGUCUAAUACCGGAUAGGAGCGUCCACCGCAUGGUGGGUGUUGGAAAGAUUUAUCGGUUUUGGAUGGACUCGCGGCCUAUCAGCUUGUUGGUGAGGUAAUGGCUCACCAAGGCGACGACGGGUAGCCGGCCUGAGAGGGUGACCGGCCACACUGGGACUGAGACACGGCCCAGACUCCUACGGGAGGCAGCAGUGGGGAAUAUUGCACAAUGGGCGAAAGCCUGAUGCAGCGACGCCGCGUGAGGGAUGACGGCCUUCCGGGUUGUAAACCUCUUUCAAGUAGGGGAAGAAGCGAAA